CGUCCUUUCUGACCCCAAAACAAAGGCGCUGAUUGGCUGAUCCCCGUCACCCCAAACAUGAAAUAGCAGGUCCUUCUUUACAAAGUGAGCAGACUUCACUGCCGCGUCUGUCACCGCACACUCGGUCGUUUGUGGCGCUCAUUUCACUCCGGAGAGUUAUACACCUGGAGAUUUGUUGGAGUCUCGGAUGGGAUUUUGGGGACCAUGCGAGGCUGAUUACCGACGCUGUUCCCUCGGUGCACUCGAUGGAAUCAAGUCCACCACCAUCAAGGCUUUCACCUGAAUCGGGCGCAGGCAGGACUGGAGGGCCAAGUGCUAGCACUUGCAGAAAUUCCAUGCACCGAAAAAGAGCUCCUAGCAGACCUCUCCUUCCUCCUCCAGAAAUUGAAGAACACGUCUUUUAGCUAAUUCUUAACAGCGUGCAGCCAGUAAUGAAGGGAUAGAUGCACCUGACAGAGGGCUUCUCUCUACAGGAUCCUGGGCCAUUAGUGCUUCGUUGUGGGUCACAGUGCAACAUCAGAUGUCUGCAAAGCUCAUCAGUUUUCCUUGGACUUGGGUGGACCCUAAAUCAUGGCUGCAG